GUGGGGAAUAUUGCGCAAUGGGGGAAACCCUGACGCAGCAACGCCGCGUGAUUGAAGAAGGCCUUCGGGUUGUAAAGAUCUUUAAUUGGGGACGAAAUAAAUGACGGUACCCAAAGAAUAAGCUCCGGCUAACUACGUGCCAGCAGCCGCGGUAAUACGUAGGGAGCAAGCGUUAUCCGGAUUUACUGGGUGUAAAGGGCGAGUAGGCGGGCCGACAAGUUGGGAGUGAAAUCCGGGGGCUUAACCCCGGAACUGCUUUCAAAACUGUUGGUCUUGAGUGAUGGAGAGGCAGGCGGAAUUCCCAGUGUAGCGGUGAAAUGCGUAGAUAUUGGGAGGAACACCAGUGGCGAAGGCGGCCUGCUGGACAUUAACUGACGCUGAGGCGCGAAAGCGUGGGGAGCAAACAGGAUUAGAAACCCCGGUAGUCC
rnacentral:rRNA from 1 species